AGCGCAUUCAAGGCUCUUAAGAAGCCUUCAUUGUCAAAUCUAACUGAUGAUCAGUUCAAAUCAGUGCUCCUUUACCAUGCCUUGCCACGAUACUAUGCCCUUGCGGACUUCAAUGACCUAAGUGAGAAAGGCCUUAUUAGUACACUUGCUGGUGGCCAAUACACUUUGCAAUUCAACGAUGAGUCUGGUACCGUCCGCCUCGAUUCCGGAUGGAGCAAAACAAAAGUCACUAGCGCAGUACAUACGUCCAAGCCAGUCGCAGUCUAUCAAAUCGAUAAGGUC
rnacentral:lncRNA from 1 species